rnacentral:rRNA from 1 species
UACGUAGGUCGCAAGCGUAGUCCGGAUUUACUGGGCGUAAAGAGCGCGCAGGCGGCUGGUCAAGUCCGAUGUGAAAUCUCCCGGCUUAACUGGGAAACUGCAUCGGAAACUGAUCGGCUUGAAGGUGGGAGAGGGUAGUGGAAUUCCCAGUGUAGCGGUGAAAUGCGUAGAUAUCGGGAGGAACACCAGUGGCGAAGGCGACUUCCUGGCCUGUUCUUGACGCUGAGGCGCGAAAGCUAGGGGAGCAAACGGG